GUGAGGAAUAUUGGUCAAUGGACGCAAGUCUGAACCAGCCAUGCCGCGUGCAGGAUGACGGCUCUAUGAGUUGUAAACUGCUUUUGUACGAGGGUAAACGCAGAUACGUGUAUCUGUCUGAAAGUAUCGUACGAAUAAGGAUCGGCUAACUCCGUGCCAGCAGCCGCGGUAAUACGGAGGAUUCAAGCGUUAUCCGGAUUUAUUGGGUUUAAAGGGUGCGUAGGCGGUUUGAUAAGUUAGAGGUGAAAUUUCGGGGCUCAACCCUGAACGUGCCUCUAAUACUGUUGAGCUAGAGAGUAGUUGCGGUAGGCGGAAUGUAUGGUGUAGCGGUGAAAUGCUUAGAGAUCAUACAGAACACCGAUUGCGAAGGCAGCUUACCAAACUAUAUCUGACGUUGAGGCACGAAAGCGUGGGGAGCAAACAGGAUUAGAAACCGGGUAGUCC
rnacentral:rRNA from 1 species